UUGACCGCUGUGCUGCUUGCUUGCCUUGAUCUUCAGAAUCCUUGUUUUUUCUCCAGAAUUCAUCGAGUGCUUGACCGCAAAUCUUUGAUGCUUUGCCUGUUUGUCUCUAAAGAUCUGCAUUUUGGCUCAAGUUAUCGGUCGGGUAGUGUUUUUCUUGGAAAAUGGGUUCUCAAGAUUUGUUCCGCGGAUUGAUCCAGGGCUCGUGGUUUGGGCGAUUCUCCCCCUCCCUCGCCAAGAAGAUAGGGUUCCCUGUGCUUCCUUUUAGCCCCUGUUUUGAUUGAUCGUAAAUCUUUUCUGCUUUGCCCGUUCGUCUCUGAGAAAUUUGCGCGCUGAUUGGAAUCCGUUGAUCUGACGAUGUUUCUGGGAAUGGUUUCAAGAGUCGGUUGAUUGGUUGAUCUAGGGUUCGUAGUCUCGACGCUUCUUCCCAUAAGCUACUCUCAGAACCCCAACCCCCCCCCCCCCUCUUUUCUUUUCGACAAUUCAGUGCGAUAUUUGUUUGGAUUGCAAGUCUUUGCUGCUUUGUCCGUUGAUCUCUAAAAUUUUGCAUUUUGAUUGAAUUUGGUCGACCGAUGAUAUUUUUCUCGGAAACGGCUUCGAGAUGUGGAAAUGGGGCAUGAAGGAGGUAAGAAAUCCUCAAGAUUCUUGAUUUUAAGCGCAUGUUACUUUGAACUUAGUGGUAGCAUCAGUGUGGUCUUAUAAAGACUCGGAUUCGGCCAUGGAUUGAAUGUGUGGAAAGAUGUCAACUGAUAUCUGAAAUAUGGUUCGCUUUUCUGUUUUCUGCAAGUUUCUUGUUGUUUGUUCUUUGUUACUUCUCAAGAUAAACAUUGGAUAACAUGCACAUAUAAUUUGGUAUAAUCAUGUUGCUGCAAAUUGUUUCCUCAUUUGAUGUAUAAUCGUUAGAGCCUAUUUACCUGUGGAUAAACCAUCUUAAAUUAUCAUAUCAGCCACAACCUCUUUGGACUUUUCCUAUGUUUUCUGUAGAACAACCGGUUUAUGAAGCAUUUUCCUCGCAGCAUCCAUUUUGCUCCCUAUAGACUGAGAUUGGCUUGAAUGGCCGCUUUAUUGAUUAAGUUGCAAAAUAUGCUAAAAUAUAUUCGUCUCAGUCUGAGAUACAAUUGGUAGUAAUAGAGCUGUCCAAUAUGUAGUCUUCUAUGAUUGCCUUCUUGAACUCAGAUAUGCAUAUAAAAUGGACAAAAUAGAAUUAGUGCUCAAGUCAACGCAAUUCAUAUCAUAUGAGAGAGAAUGUACUUUGGAACUGUGUUGAAGCAUACUAACUUAUUGGCACAGACUAUUGCAGAGUCAGGCAAUCCAUGUAUCUAAGAUCGGUACUAAUUUUGUGGAUUGUUAGAUGUUCUUCUACUUCUUUAUCUUGGCAUGCGGUCUUAAACUAUGUUACAGGAUUCUUUUACAAUGAUGAUGGAAAAUGAUCUGUCCUGCCACCAGGAGACCCCCUCUGUGUGGAAGUCCCCCAACAUCAUAUUUUUGCAAAAUAUUUAUUGUUGACAGUGUCACAUUCAAGAUUGGUCAUUGCAGCAAAAGCUCCAUCAGGAAAAGUUUGAACAGCUUUUUUUUCAACUGGUUCAAUUGUUAAUGCAAAAUUGUUUUUGACCAAAAGUUAGAAGAGUAAUCGAAGGUAAUGGCUUCUGCUAUCGGCUAGUAGGGGUUACAUUUGCAAGCCUCUCAUUCCAGCAUAUGGCUAAAGGUAAGGAUCGAAAAAGAUGUUGCUGCACUUAAUCACAUGAGCUUCUCUACUGCUCUUCCUAACAACAACAUAUUGGAAUUGUGGAAGCGACCUUCUGGUUCUAAGCUUACGCAUUCACUUUUCCAGUUUGAUCUUGCAUUUGUUACAUGAAUAAUCUUUUCCUCUUUAUAAAGUUAAUAUGACAGGAAAGUAGACAGUGCUAAAUAAGAUAGAAUACGAACAGAAUCCUUACAUGUUGCACUUCUCUGAGGCGCAAAUGAAAUGAUGCAAUUAUGUGAAUAUCUUGUCCUCUUUCGAUCUAUAAAGUUUCAGAAAGUACACAGCUUUUAGCAAUACUCACUAGAACAGCCAAAGGUGAUCCUUAUAGCUUGCCCUUGAUUUUUUUUUUUUUUUUUUUUGUGCAUUUGCUAAAAUACCUUAUUACAAGGACACAGUUUUAUUUGCAUUAACUUCAUCUGGUCUUAGUCAUCCAGCAAAUGCAUUUCUACUUUCUGAGAGCAGAUGCAAGUUGUGGUAAGAAGUUGCCUGACAAAUCUCUUAAAAUUUCAGCUACUGCUUGCUUUAGAUGUACUGACGUUGAUGAGUUCUGGUAAUCUUCAGGAAAAUUGAGAUAAAAAGGAUUCAUCAUGUGGAUGAAAAUGAAGGACAAGAAAACAAUGUUCUUCGACUUGUCUGCAUCUACCGUUGGUGACUCAAACUUGGUGAAGUGAUCAGAGUAAAUAUUUAGUAAGAAAGCAUUUCAACUCCGUCCAAAUGUGCUUGAUGUUUAUUAUUAACAUUAUGUUAUUGGGUUUCUUUCCUAAAUAAUUUGGGGUUAAUA